rnacentral:rRNA from 1 species
GUGGGGAAUUUUCCACAAUGGGCGAAAGCCUGAUGGAGCAACGCCGCGUGUGUGAUGAAGGUCUUCGGAUUGUAAAGCACUUUCGACCGGGACGAAAAACCUCUGGCUAACAUCCAGGGGCCUGACGGUACCGGGAGAAGAAGCACCGGCUAACUCUGUGCCAGCAGCCGCGGUAAUACAGAGGGUGCAAGCGUUGUUCGGAAUUAUUGGGCGUAAAGCGCGUGUAGGCGGCUUGAUAAGUCAGAUGUGAAAUCCCUCGGCUUAACCGAGGAAGUGCGUCUGAAACUAUCGAGCUUGAGUGCCGGAGAGGGUGGCGGAAUUCCGCAAGUAGAGGUGAAAUUCGUAGAUAUGCGGAGGAACACCGGUGGCGAAGGCGGCCACCUGGACGGCAACUGACGCUGAGACGCGAAAGCGUGGGUAGCAAACAGGAUUAGAAACCCGUGUAGUCC